AUACGUAGGUGGCAAGCGUUGUCCGGAUUUACUGGGCGUAAAGAGUAUGUAGGCGGAUAUUUAAGUCAGAUGUGAAAUUCCCGGGCUUAACCUGGGAGCUGCAUUUGAUACUGGAUAUCUAGAGUGCGGGAGAGGAAAGUGGAAUUCCUAGUGUAGCGGUGAAAUGCGUAGAGAUUAGGAAGAACACCAGUGGCGAAGGCGACUUACUGGUCCAUUACUGACGCUGAGGUGCGAAAGCGUGGGGAGC
rnacentral:rRNA from 1 species